GGAUGCCCUUUCCAUAUCGGCUCUGUCAAGGCUGAAGAAUCUGAGAUGCUGAGGAUUUGACUUGUCUAAAAUGACAUAAGUAGUUAGUGGUGGGAGUCAAACUCAACUCUUCCUACUCCAAAUGCAGCACACUCUGCAUAACACCAAAGUUAACACCCAGUGCCUCAAUCAAGGGACUGGCUAACGAUCAAGAGGCAGAUUGCUGUGGUUAUGCCAGCAUUGCAUUCCCCGAGGGUGGAAGGCAAGAGGAAAACUCUGAGUGCCACCAAGAUGAGCUAUCUCCCAGUGAUGCAGUCUCCUGUGUGGUUUUGGACCAAAUAUCUGGCUGGAUAAGAAUACAAAUGCUGGGCCGGGG
rnacentral:lncRNA from 1 species